rnacentral:rRNA from 1 species
ACUAUUAAAAUAUAAUAAUUCAAAGACCUCCAACAAAAUAAAUUUGACGGUAUUAACUUUUACAAAGGAAUUUGUUUCCUAAUCGACAACCCACGAUAUAUCUUACUUAAUAAUUAUCUGUAUACCACCGUUACUCGAAAUUAUUUUCAAACAAAUCUCAUAAUAGACCUAAAUCUAAAAAAUCAGGUCAAGGUGCAAUUUUAUUAAGCCGAAAUGAAUUACAUUAAUUUAUAUUUACUCAUAAUAACUGAAACUUUUAUUAAAAAUAGAAUUUGUUAGUAAAAUAUUAUCAUCAUGAUAAUUUGAAAAUUAACAUUAAUAUGU